UGAAGAUCAAAUGAAACUGCGAUUUGAAUCAUCUACCAUGAUCUCUAACCUCCAGAAACCAUCGGCAUUGUUUGAUCAGUCUCCAUUCAUCCAAUCCGUCACUGAAACGAAGAUCAAAAUCAAUCAUAUUCUCGAAAACAUGCUGCAUUUUGGAGGUCCUGUGAUUGGAUUUGGUGAAUGAUUCAGGAAAAAGUUGAGGAGCUCAAAGAUAUGCAAUGGAAAGCCUCAAUAAAGCAGGUAACUGGAAUUUUUUGUUUGAAUAUAUUGCUCUUAUACUUUGCAAUUCCAGUAUAUCUCAAGAAAAUUAUUACUAUGAUUGACAAAUUAGACGAAACUAUAGCUUAUAUAUACAAAAGCAUAACAACAAGAUGAUUAU